rnacentral:rRNA from 1 species
CUGUUUCGGCUAGGGGGCCAUCCCGGCUUACCAACCCGAUGCAAACUGCGAAUACCGGAGAAUGCUAUCACGGGAGACACACGGCGGGUGCUAACGUCCGUCGUGAAGAGGGAAACAACCCAGACCGCCAGCUAAGGUCCCAAAGUCAUGGUUAAGUGGGAAACGAUGUGGGAAGGCCCAGACAGCCAGGAUGUUGGCUUAGAAGCAGCCAUCAUUUAAAGAAAGCGUAAUAGCUCACUGGUCGAGUCGGCCUGCGCGGAAGAUGUAACGGGGCUAAACCAUGCACCGAAGCUGCGGCAGCGAACGUAUCACUUAAAGCGAUUCAGCGGGUUACGAUUGACGGAGCGAAGCGACGUCAAAGCGUAUACAAAGUCGAGUCGGUUUAAGGAUACGUUCGUUGGGUAGGGGAGCGUUCUGUAAGCCCGUGAAGGUGGCCUGUGAGGGUUGCUGGAGGUAUCAGAAGUGCGAAUGCUGACAUAAGUAACGAUAAAGCGGGUGAAAAGCCCGCUCGCCGGAAGACCAAGGGUUCCUGUCCAACGUUAAUCGGGGCAGGGUGAGUCGACCCCUAAGGCGAGGCCGAAAGGCGUAGUCGAUGGGAAACGGGUUAAUAUUCCCGUACUUGGUGUUACUGCGAAGGGGGGACGGAGAAGGCUAUGUUGGCCGGGCGACGGUUGUCCCGGUUUAAGCGUGUAGGUGUGUGUUCCAGGUAAAUCCGGUUCACUUUAACACUGAGGCGUGAUGACGAGGCACUACGGUGCUGAAGCAACAAAUGCCCUGCUUCCAGGAAAAGCCUCUAAGCAUCAGGUAACAUCAAAUCGUACCCCAAACCGACACAGGUGGUCAGGUAGAGAAUACCAAGGCGCUUGAGAGAACUCGGGUGAAGGAACUAGGCAAAAUGGUGCCGUAACUUCGGGAGAAGGCACGCUGACACGUAGGUGAAGUGAUUUACUCACGGAGCUGAAGUCAGUCGAAGAUACCAGCUGGCUGCAACUGUUUAUUAAAAACACAGCACUGUGCAAACACGAAAGUGGACGUAUACGGUGUGACGCCUGCCCGGUGCCGGAAGGUUAAUUGAUGGGGUCAGCGCAAGCGAAGCUCCUGAUCGAAGCCCCGGUAAACGGCGGCCGUAACUAUAACGGUCCUAAGGUAGCGAAAUUCCUUGUCGGGUAAGUUCCGACCUGCACGAAUGGCGUAAUGA